rnacentral:lncRNA from 1 species
AUUUUGUUUCACCUUGAUUGAAUCAGUUUCGAUUUGCAGGAAAGCAAAUGCACUGAUUAGCUGAGGCUCGUCUCUCUUUAUGGGCGAGGGCCAAAAUGACAGUUGACUGUCCCCCCUCUCUGCUAGCUGAGCUAAUGGUACUGUACGUUUGCUGCCACUGCAGGAAACAUGAGAACAUGUGGCACAAACAUCUGUCAGUAUCUCUGCCCCCACCCCAAUUGCACAGGAAUGUUGCACCCAGAUGACAAUGAUGCAUGUUCUUUCUGCAGGGAUUGUCUGGGGUGCCAGGUCAGCCGGGGGAGCCGGGCAAAGAGGGCAAAAGGAACGCGUCGCCUCCACUGACAGCGUUUCCAUGGACGCCGCGUCCGCGUUGACGAGUGAACCAGACGUAUCAUGUAAAGAGAAAGCAUAACCUGAGCCGGUGAAGGAGAGAACUUCUAUGUUUUGUACACUUUAACAACAGUAUAGACCACACAUAACACAGCUUAAUGGACUAAUAUGGUAAAGUUAGAGGAAAAUAAAGUCUCUGACCCUAGAGUAAUUUCCAUAUAUGAAUAAUUCAUAUAGAAUUCUAGUGAAGCAACACUAUGCUACAUCAGUGUUAGUGUUGCAGUACAAUAGUGGUCAUUACAGUACAAUUAAAUAAUAACUAAGGCUCCACAACUUCACCGCAGAAUUUGUUCAUAAUUUAAACUACACCUUUGACGGCAUGCAGGGUGUAUUACAGUUACUGAUGUAACAAGGUAAUAUGAGAGGAGGUGCAUUUCUAUGGAACAAUGCUAAUCCAUUAUGAAUAAAUAAUAAAGCAUUGUGGGCAGCGCAGUGGUUAGUGUGGCGAG